GUGCUUGCUUCAGCAGCACAUAUACUAAAACUAGAACAAUACAGACAAGAUCAUGAUUCCUGAACAGGGUGACAGGCAGGUUCGUGAAGUAGUCCAUAUUUUU